UACGUAGGGUGCGAGCGUUGUCCGGAAUUAUUGGGCGUAAAGAGCUCGUAGGCGGCUCGUCGCGUCGGCUGUGAAAACCCGCGGCUUAACUGUGGGCUUGCAGCUGAUACGGGCGGGCUAGAGUUCGGUAGGGGAGACUGGAAUUCCUGGUGUAGCGGUGAAAUGCGCAGAUAUCAGGAGGAACACCGGUGGCGAAGGCGGGUCUCUGGGCCGAUACUGACGCUGAGGAGCGAAAGCGUGGGGAGCGAACAGG
rnacentral:rRNA from 1 species